AGAGAAGGAGCUGCCUAUAUAUGCUUUAUGUGCAGAAGACAUUUCUAGAAGGUUACAAAAGAAAUUGGUAAGGGUGGUGUCAUCUGAGGAGGACACCCGUAGGGCUGAGGGACUGGAGUGGAAAUUGGGUCUGUGCCUUUUGAUACCUUUGAAUUUACUUUUGUUAUGCACGUGUUCACUAGUCAAAAGCAUAUCUCAGCUGAGACUUAACUGCCAAAUCAGAAAUUCAAAUUGACUGUGGGUGAUUAUCUUGGCUUUUGUCAGCACAUUUAUUCUGUGUAAAAGGAGCCGAAUUCCGGGGAAGGACGUUCAGGAUGAAGCAAAACGUUUACCAAAAACUUGUCUCGUUGAGAAAUGAAAAUGCAAAGACUUGUGCCCAAGUGUUCAUAGCUGCUUUAUUCCAGCCCCAAACUGGAAAUCACCCAAUGUCCAUUGACGUUAUGAAUGGAUAAACUGUGGUAUGUCCACACAACAGAAGGCAGCAGUCAAAAGGCGCCAAGCACUGCGAGGCGGGUGGCGCACUCAGACCUUAGUUGGCAGCCAGCCAGGUGUGAGGAGUGCAUCUUCUGCUGGACUUCUAGAAUGGCAAAGUCCUUCCACAGUCCUCUCUUAACCACCGAAUCAGUGACCGAUGUUUAGGUACCUGUUCCUCUCUGCGCUACUGGUGUGUGUACAUGUGUGUAUCUUGUGUGAACUUUUUCGUAACUGAAAGUAUCAAAACUUUAGAAACAAUCAUUGGUUGAGUUUGGAAGUCAAAAGCUUAAGACUAAGUGCUCUCAGAGGCUGCCUCCAGGCAGGAACAGGAAGUAUGGUGCUGUGUUACCAAAGGCUUGCCUCUCCACUACCAGUUACCUUACAACCAGCCUGGAAAAUUAAAUCCUCUCUAAAGAUAAAUCUUUCUUCCUGAUUUUUCCAGAACUCUAAACCGUCGGUGAUGUCCAGAAGGGUGAUGCAGACAAAAGGAGCAAUUACCGGGUGGUACUCAGGGUGAUGGGCUUUGGAUACACUUUUUCCCCUCUUGUUUCCCAGACUUGAGUCAUUUAUGUUAAUGGCAGGGCUGUAGUACAUGACAAUUGGUAUCUCAGCAAGGGAGCUGUAGCCUCCAUUCAAGCAUUACCCUCUCAGCCCCGCUCCUUUGGCCCUGAACCUGCAGUGGUCUAAGCUGCUUUUCUGUGACUCUUCCUAUAACCAAAUGAUGGCUUCAGGAGCUGGCUGGGACACAGGUCUGGAACCCAAAUGCAAAAGCACCUGUCCUGUUGUUCUUAGGAGUUUUCUCAAUGUCUUAGUAUAAUUUGAAGAGGCAACCAGUGCCCUGGCUGGCUGACAACAAAUGGCAGCCAGACAGAAGAGCCCAUCCAGAAGCCUAGGUGCCUUCCUCCUGCCUAACUGAUGGCGCUUCUACCCUCUAGGGUUACAUUAAUUCCUUCAUAUUUCUAUUUACAAACUGAGUUGACAGUUUUGGCUAAGACUGAGAGUGAAGAAAGGCAGUGAGACUGGCAAAUGUAAAAUGGGACAACAGUGGCCUUUUAAACUGCUGUAGGGGGACUGGGUUUGGGGCAGAACGCUGGCCCUUUUCCAGCCUCCCAGUGACAGGCGUUUGAGUUGGGAUCUUCAUCCUCCGGAUCAAUUGUCUGAGGCCUUGCGUACCUGGGGUUUCACAAGCGCGCACACAUGGGUCUCGCUGCUCGCCCGGCUCCAGUUGCCAAGGCUGUGGCGAGCAAACCCAAUGGAAACGACCCUCCUGGUGACCUUGGUCUUCGUGUGUGAUGACACCUUUAGCAACUAACGCCUCUCAUGGCCUCUCAUGGAAGUGGUUUAGCCUGUACCUCUUCCCGUGAUUAAAGAGGUAGAAUUAACCUUUCAGAAACAACUGUGAACAUUUCACAUGGCUUGAAAUCCUUGAUGACAAUUAAUGACGAAACCAAAGUUAGGAAUUUCGCUUUGGCAUAUAAAAUCCCUCCAGGACAGCCGUAUCGCCCAACAACUCAGCGACAAGGUUUCUCCAGCCGGCUCCGCCUUAGCCCAGAGGUCCCGACGGCCGGCCUCCGGCCCCGGGGCACGCGACGCUGUGACGCUCGCUGCGGAGCAGCUGCGGGAGGUGACGGGUUUCGGACCCGCGGUCCCGGCCCUCACGAUGGGUGCGCGGCCACCCCAACCCCCGCUCGCGGCUCCGCGUCAGGCAGGUGCGCGCCGUCGCCGCCGCCCGAAAAAGAAGUGCGACCAACACGGCGACCGCUGACGGGCGCCGCAUCCGCGCCGGCGGCCAGCCGCCGCGCCCCCGGCCCGCACUCGCGUGACCUCCACAUGUGCGCCCGGCCCCGCCGCACCGAAGGCCCCACUGACCCCGCGACUCAGACACCCAGGUCCCAGCCAGCGAUCCUCCCAGCGGCCCUUGCGGCGAGGGCGCGGCCACGUGACCCGGACUCGGCCAAUUGGGGGCGCCGGCGGCGCAGAGGCGUUUGCGUCAUUGCGCUCCGGCGGCAGCUGGAACCCUGAUUGGCCGUAUCUGGAUCACGUGACCCCCGCCGCUCCCCCUCCCGCCUGGGUGCGGCCCCGCCCGGACACUGCAGAUGAGCGGCGCACUGCGCUGACGUCUACAAUGUUGAGUGGCUGGUCUUCCAGUUAGGGAGGGAUGAUGUUGCUGUUGCUUUCUGAGGAGAAAUGGAGCCAGAAGCCUCGUCAAACUGCACCUGGGGUCCAGCCACGUCUUUUCGGUUGAGUCGCUGAAACGUGUUUAGCUUAAGCCAGUUUGAGCUGCACGUUUUAAUUCUUGCCCGAUAAAACGUCAGAACUGAAACAAGUACUACCAGAAUGACCUGGGGGAAAAUUCAUUCUUCAUGUCCUAGGGUUUUGACUCAGUAAGAACGUCUUCGAGCCGACAGGGACUGUACUCCCAGUCCUCCGACUGGGCUCCCCUCCCACCGUCCUCCAGCACCCAGAGAUUUGGGAGGGGACAGAGGCGGGGGUGCCGCUCACAGAUACCUUUGUCAGUUGGCAAGUAUCCCCUUCUGGUGACGCUCUGAGACCCAGCCAUGCCCCUCUGAGUACAAACUCUGUACCCAAACACAAGUGGGGGUCCUGACAAGGCUCCAGCGGGGCGCAGUCCGUGAAGAGCCCGCCGCACCUGUUAGCAAC
ensembl:lncRNA